UGCAGCUGUGUCAAAUUCAGUGCCUGCCCCACCCAUGGGCUGGCACUGGCCCAAAAGGCUGCCACAGAGACACUGUAACUGAUGGGGCCCUGUUCCUCUCUGCUAACCCUCAGAGCUAAAUUUUUGUUAACGACAUUG
rnacentral:snoRNA from 1 species